ensembl:snRNA U6 U6 spliceosomal RNA
CUGCUCGCUUCAGCAGCAUAUAUACUAAAAUUGGAACGAUACAGAGAAGAUUAGCAUGGCUCCAAUACAAGGAUGACAUGCAAAUUUGUGAAAUAUUCCUUAUUUUG